rnacentral:lncRNA from 1 species
CUCUCCCUCUCCCUCUCCCUCUCCCUCCACGGUCUCCCUCUGAUGCCGAGCCAAGGCUGGACGGUACUGCUGCCAUCUCGGCUCACUGCAGCCUCCCUGCCUGAUUCUCCUGCCUCAGCCUGCCGAGUGCCUGCGAUUGCAGGCGCGCACCGCCACGCCUGACUGGUUUUCGUUUUUUUUUGGUGGAGACGGGGUUUCGCUGUGUUGGCCGGGCUGGUCUCCAGCUCCUAGCCGCGAGUGAUCCGCCAGCCUCGGCCUCCCGAGGUGCCGGGAUUGCAGAUGGAGUCUCGUUCACUCAGUGCUCAAUGGUGCCCAGGCUGGAGUGCAGUGGCGUGAUCUCGGCUCGCUGCAACCACCUCCCAGCCGCCUGCCUUGGCCUCCCGGAGAGCCGAGAUUGCAGCCUCUGCCCGGCCGCCACCCCGUCUGGGAAGUGAGGAGCGUCUCUGCUUGGCCACCCAUCGUCUGGGAUGUGAGGAGCCCCUCUGCCUGGCUGCCCAGUCUGGAAAGUGAGGAGCGUCUCUGCCCGGCCGCCAUCCCAUCUGGGAAGCGAGGAGCGCCUCUUCCCCGCCGCCAUCCCAUCUAGGAAGUGAGGAGCGUCUCUGCCCGGCCGCCCAUCGUCUGAGAUGUGGGGAGCACCUCUGCCCCGCCGCCCUGUCUGGGAUGUGAGGAGCGCCUCUGCUGGGCCGCAGCCCUGUCUGGGAGGUGGGGAGCGUCUCUGCCCGGCCGCUCCGUCUGAGAAGUGAGGAAACCCUCUGCCUGGCAACCGCCCCGUCUGAGAAGUGAGGAGCCCCUCCGUCCGGCAACCACCCCGUCUGGGAAGUGAGGAGCGUCUCCGCCCAGCAGCCACCCCGUCCGGGAGGGAGGUGGGGGGGGUCAGCCCCCCGCCCGGCCAGCCGCCCCGUCCGGGAGGUGAGGGGCUCCUCUGCCCGGCCGCCCCUACUGGGAAGUGAGGAGCCCCUCUGCCUGGCCAGCCGCCCCAUCCGGGAGGGAGGCGGGGGGGGGGUCGGCCAGCCGCCCCGUCCGGGAGGGAGGUGGGGGGGUCAGCCCCCCGCCCGGCCAGCCGCCCCGUCCGGGAGGGAGGUGGGGGGUCAGCCCCCCGCCCGGCCAGCCGCCCCGUCUGGGAGGGAGGUGGGGGGAUCAGCCCCCCGCCUGGCCAGCCGCCCCAUCCGGGAGGUGAGGGGCGCCUCUGCCCGGCCGCCCCUACUGGGAAGUGAGGAGCCCCUCUGCCCGGCCAGCCGCCCCGCCCGGGAGGGAGGUGGGGGGGUCAUCCCCCCACCUGGCCAGCCGCCCCAUCCGGGAGGGAGGUGGGGGGGUCAGCCCCCCGCCCGGCCAGCCGCCCCGUCCGGGAGGGGGGAGGGGGGGUCAGCCCCCUGCCCGGCCAGCCGCCCCGCCCGGGAGGGAGGUGGGGGGGGUCAGCCCCCCGCCUGGCCAGCCGCCCCGUCCGGGAGGGAGGUGGGGGGAUCAGCCCCCCGCCUGGCCAGUCGCCCCGUCCGGGAGGUGAGGGGCGCCUCUGCCCGGCCGCCCCUACUGGAAAGUGAGGAGCCCCUCUGCCCGGCCAGCCGCCCCGUCCGGGAGGGAGGCGGGGGGGGGGGGGUCGGCCAGCCGCCCCGUCCGGGAGGGAGGUGGGGGGGGGUCAGCCCCCCUUCCGGCCGGCCGCCCCGUCCGGGAGGUGAGGGGCGCCUCUGCCCGGCCGCCCCUACUGGGAAGUGAGGACCCCUCUGCCCGGCCAGCCGCCCCGUCCGGGAGGGAGGUGGGGGGGACAGCCCCCGGCCCAGCCAGCCGCCCUAUCCAGGAGGUGAGGGGCGCCUCUGCCCGGCCGUCCCUACUGGGAAGUGAGGAGCCCCUCUGCCUGGCCAGCCGCCCCGUCCGGGAGGGUGGUGGGGGGGUCAGCCCCCCGCCCGGCCAGCCGCCCCAUCCGGGAGGUGAGGGGCGCUUCUGCCCGGCCGCCCCUACUGGGAAGUGAGGAGCCCCUCUGCCCGGCCACGACCCCGUCUGGGAGGUGUGCCCAGCGGCUCAUUGGGGAUGGGCCAUGAUGACAAUGGCGGUUUUGUGGAAUAGAAAGGCGGGAAGGGUGGGGAAAAAAUUGAGAAAUCGGAUGGUUGCCGGGUCUCUGUGGAUAGAAGUAGACAUGGGAGACUUUUCAUUUUGUUCUGUACUAAGAAAAAUUCUUCUGCCUUGGGAUCCUGUUGAUCUGUGACCUUAUCCCCAACCCUGUGCUCUCUGAAACAUGUGCUGUGUCCACUCAGGGUUAAAUGGAUUAAGGGCGGUGCAGGAUGUGCUUUGUUGAACAGAUGCUUGAGGGCAGCAUGCUCG